rnacentral:rRNA from 1 species
UACGGGGGGGGCAAGCGUUGUUCGGAAUUACUGGGCGUAAAGGGCUCGUAGGCGGCCAACUAAGUCAGACGUGAAAUCCCCGGGCUCAACCCGGGAACUGCGUCCGAUACUGGAAGGCUUGAAUCCGGGAGAGGGAUGUGGAAUUCCUGGUGUAGCGGUGAAAUGCGCAGAUAUCAGGAGGAACACCGGUGGCGAAGGCGGUUCUCUGGGCAUUACCUGACGCUGAGGCGCGAAAGCUAGGGGAGCGAACAGG